UUUUUUUAUUGGUUAAGGUUAUACUUAUUAGUGUUAUUACUUACGUCUUACACUAAAUUGGAACUGAUACACAUUAGUAAUGUUUGCCAGGUGUGGUGUUAUCUUAAAGCAAGUAUUGUUUAAAAGAUAUAUUUUUUUAAAUAAUUUACUCGUUUGUUGUCAUCUUCUGCUUCAUAUUUCAAUUAUAAUGCACAAUAAAUAAACAAUAAUGAUGACAAAAGUACAAAAUAUACAUGUUAUUACUUUAUUAGGCAAUAAAUUAUUUUUAAUGAUAUAAUUUACAUCUUAAUAGUUGUUAAUAAUAACAUCAUUAAUAUGUUUCUUAAUUUCUUAAAAAUAUCAUGUAUCAGACGUUUUAAUACAUCUUUAAAACCAAAUUAAUCAACUUUCCCCGUAACUGCUUACCUAUUACUUAUAUAUAUAACCUAACCUAACCUUCCGUAGAGUGAUUACGCCAUCUCAUAGUUCCAGUAGCUCGUAAUUUGUAAAUAUAAUAUACCUAUUUAUAUUUAAUUAUCAAAUUAACACGAACUAAUACAUGUUGAUUUACAGUAAAACAAUAAAAAUCAAUCGUUUUUUUCCUUCGGCGAUAUAAUUACUUGGACUGUCUUUCAUUCACUUUGUGCGUACAUCUGUCCAACAAUAAUAUGACGACUUCUCGAGCAGCAACCGCAAAGUGCUGCCGUAACUCAGACCAAAUUACUAUAAUAAUAAUUUUUAUGUUAUGAUUUUUAGAGCGCAGCGCCGCGCCGUGGUUACUGUGUCGUAGACGUGUGGAACUACUUUAAAGUACUUUACACUAGUCGACAUAUCGUUCGAAUAACGGCGGUGACGAUAAUGACGACUACUACGGCAAGAAGUGUCAAGUGUUUAAUGACGUCUCUUGUUCACCAAAGUAGAUUUUUAUAUUUUACGUAUCAUUCGUAAUAUUAUUGAGUGUCAAGUCAACCAUAAUUUUGGAUUCAAAUGAUUGGCCCCAAAUCAAGUACAACCACAACAAUGAUGUCGAUUCAACAGCAGAUUUUCUAGACGAAUUAUUUGUAAACGACGCUUUGGUGACGACGACUCCUCCAGAAAAACAGACUAUGAUGAUCGAAACUUCUUCUGAAUGGACGAAUGACUUUGAAAAUUUUGAAGACUAUCCAUUGAAAAAUUCCAAGAUCAAGAUGGCAAGCACAAGGACAACUAUGACGACAACUACAUCGAAUACAACGACCAUGACAUCUACAUUAUCGCCAACGUUUAUGUCUUCGUUAACCACAUCUGCGUUGACGAUUACGUCUGCUACGACAACAGCCGGCACAUGUUAAUUUUUCAAUAUUAACGUUCAUUAGGUAUCAAAUAAGUUUGUCAUUAAAAUAUAUUAUUCAAAAAUUGUUUUGAUUUCGGUAGUAAUUUCAAAAAUAGUAGGUACGUGUGUGUAAUAUAUAAUAUAUAAUAUGUAUUUAUUCUUUUUUAUCAUAUAUCAUUUAUGUAUGUAAUUUAUUAUAUAUAUCUCUCUCUCUCACACACGACGCACACACUCUAGUUUACUACUUUCUUAUGUUUAGACGUAUUAACGUGUUAACGCAUGUAAGUACAUGUAUAUAUAUAUCUAUAUAUUAUAUAUGAGAAUUUA